UAAGGGCGCACGGUGGAUGCCUUGGCACUAGAAGCCGAUGAAGGACGUUACUAACGACGAUAUGCUUUGGGGAGCUGUAAGUAAGCUUUGAUCCAGAGAUUUCCGAAUGGGGAAACCCAGCAUGAGUUAUGUCAUGUUAUCGAUAUGUGAAUACAUAGCAUAUCAGAAGGCACACCCGGAGAACUGAAACAUCUUAGUACCCGGAGGAAGAGAAAGAAAAUUCGAUUCCCUUAGUAGCGGCGAGCGAAACGGGAAGAGCCCAAACCAACAAGCUUGCUUGUUGGGGUUGUAGGACACUCUAUACGGAGUUACAAAGGACGACAUUAGACGAAUCAUCUGGAAAGAUGAAUCAAAGAAGGUAAUAAUCCUGUAGUCGAAAAUGUUGUCUCUCUUGAGUGGAUCCUGAGUACGACGGA
rnacentral:rRNA from 1 species